UAGCGGCGAGCGAAACGGGAAGAGCCCAAACCAACAAGCUUGCUUGUUGGGGUUGUAGGACACUCUAUACGGAGUUACAAAGGACGACAUUAGACGAAUCAUCUGGAAAGAUGAAUCAAAGAAGGUAAUAAUCCUGUAGUCGAAAAUGUUGUCUCUCUUGAGUGGAUCCUGAGUACGACGGAGCACGUGAAAUUCCGUCGGAAUCUGGGAGGACCAUCUCCUAAGGCUAAAUACUCUCUAGUGACCGAUAGUGAACCAGUACCGUGAGGGAAAGGUGAAAAGCACCCCGGAAGGGGAGUGAAAUAGAACCUGAAACCGUGUGCUUACAAGUAGUCAGAGCCCGUUAAUGGGUGAUGGCGUGCCUUUUGUAGAAUGAACCGGCGAGUUACGAUUUGAUGCAAGGUUAAGCAGUAAAUGUGGAGCCGUAGCGAAAGCGAGUCUGAAUAGGGCGUUUAGUAUUUGGUCGUAGACCCGAAACCAGGUGAUCUACCCUUGGUCAGGUUGAAGUUCAGGUAACACUGAAUGGAGGACCGAACCGACUUACGUUGAAAAGUGAGCGGAUGAACUGAGGGUAGCGGAGAAAUUCCAAUCGAACCUGGAGAUAGCUGGUUCUCUCCGAAAUAGCUUUAGGGCUAGCCUCAAGUGAUGAUUAUUGGAGGUAGAGCACUGUUUGGACGAGGGGCCCCUCUCGGGUUACCGAAUUCAGACAAACUCCGAAUGCCAAUUAAUUUAACUUGGGAGUCAGAACAUGGGUGAUAAGGUCCGUGUUCGAAAGGGAAACAGCCCAGACCACCAGCUAAGGUCCCAAAAUAUAUGUUAAGUGGAAAAGGAUGUGGCGUUGCCCAGACAACUAGGAUGUUGGCUUAGAAGCAGCCAUCAUUUAAAGAGUGCGUAAUAGCUCACUAGUCGAGUGACACUGCGCCGAAAAUGUACCGGGGCUAAACAUAUUACCGAAGCUGUGGAUUGUCCUUUGGACAAUGGUAGGAGAGCGUUCUAAGGGCGUUGAAGCAUGAUCGUAAGGACAUGUGGAGCGCUUAGAAGUGAGAAUGCCGGUGUGAGUAGCGAAAGACGGGUGAGAAUCCCGUCCACCGAUUGACUAAGGUUUCCAGAGGAAGGCUCGUCCGCUCUGGGUUAGUCGGGUCCUAAGCUGAGGCCGACAGGCGUAGGCGAUGGAUAACAGGUUGAUAUUCCUGUACCACCUAUAAUCGUUUUAAUCGAUGGGGGGACGCAGUAGGAUAGGCGAAGCGUGCGAUUGGAUUGCACGUCUAAGCAGUAAGGCUGAGUAUUAGGCAAAUCCGGUACUCGUUAAGGCUGAGC
rnacentral:rRNA from 1 species